UUGGGAAGGUGGCUGGAGGGGCCCCCCGGCCUCCCUCCCUCCAGGCUCUCGGCGGUCCCUGAGGCUAGCGUCCUGCCCCUCCCUGUGCCCACACCGGGCGCGGAAUGAGGGGGGAGGGUUCUGGCUCUGAACGCUUCCCGGCGUGAGGCCACCUCUGCCACCGGAUCCCCUGGCAAGUCCGAGCUCCGGUCCAGGCGCUGCACUUGCCCAGAGGCAGGGGAGGCCUCACCGCUGCCCGCCUUUUCCUGGGUCUCAUACCUCGAAGGCCACACCCUUCGAGGGGCCGGAGUAGUGCUGGAAUGUGGGUCCUUGGAAAUCUGGGAGUUCCGCCGCUGGCUUGGGCCGAAACCAGGUCUGUUUCUAUGAAGAACCCAGCUACAGACUAGGAUGAAGUCACUUUUACCAUCUUAUCUUCCUAAGAGCAGCUCCGUGACAAGGUGACAGACGGUUGGCGUCUGGAAAGAUUCAGCUCAGGCAUCAUUGCCCACCAGAAGAAAACAUCUCUAAAUUGUCCAGUUAGGCUCAGAUGCCCUACUCUGUGUGCUCACAUAAUCCUUCAUGCAUGUCUGUUCCGUAGCACUUACCUUUUUUAUAUCAAAAUGUUUGUCUCUGCCAUAUUAAAUUCUUUGAGAGCAGGGCUGUAUUCCUGUGCCCAGCACAGUUCGUUUUUUUAAAUAACUUUAUUAACAUAUAAUUCACAUAUAAGUUACCAAUUUAAAGGAUGCAAUGCUUUUUAGUAUAUUCACAGAUUUGUGCAGCCAUCACAAUCACCACAGCUGGCAACCACCAGUUUACUUCUGUCUCUAUGGGUUUGCCUAUUCUUGACAUUUCACGUAAAUGGA